UGGGGAAUCUUGGACAAUGGGCGCAAGCCUGAUUCAGCGACGCCGCGUGGGUGAUGAAGGCCCUCGGGUUGUAAAGCCCUUUCGCCGGGGACGAUGAUGACGGUACCCGGUAAAGAAGCACCGGCUAACUCCGUGCCAGCAGCCGCGGUAAGACGGAGGGUGCUAGCGUUGUUCGGAAUCACUGGGCGUAAAGGGCGCGUAGGCGGCUGUCCAAGUCGGGCGUGAAAGCCCGGGGCUCAACCCCGGAAUUGCGCACGAAACUGGGCGGCUUGAGGCCGGAAGAGGGGAGUGGAAUACCCAGUGUAGAGGUGAAAUUCGUAGAUAUUGGGUGGAACACCAGUGGCGAAGGCGGCUCACUGGCUCGAAUCUGACGCUGAGGUGCGAAAGUGUGGGGAGCAAACAGGAUUAGAUACCCGUGUAGUCG
rnacentral:rRNA from 1 species